ACAGUUGAGGUUAGCAGUUGUUAAACUUAAACAGGAGAACGAAAUACGCGUUUAAAUCAAGAAAAAUUCUAAAACAAAUCUGAAAACAAGAAGAAGCAUUGAAUUGUUUAAGUAAUUGUUGUCCAACGAAGAUAUAAAAAAAGGCUAAAGAAGUUAAAUCCCAAUUCGGCCAAGAUACGUAAGAUUUUCUUUAUGAAAAUUUCAUUAGAGCUCUUUAAAUAAGAAUAGGGGAGAAAAUCAAUACUCGUGGCUUGUGCAGUUGGAAUUUCUUUAGUGUGGUGUAGACAACAAAAAAAGACCGAAAAAUCAAUCGAAAACCAUCAAAAAGCACAACAGAAAAAAAUUGUUACAUAAAUCCGUGCUGAUUUUUUUCGUGUGUGUCUUAUUUUUUGAAUUGUGUUCAUGCAAAAAUUUCUUGAAAUUGUCAUUGUGUGACGCUAUUCUGGUUUUGCCCAUCACUCGCGCUCUCUCCCUCUCUCGCUUUCAGUCUCUUCAUCGGGUAUUAAGUGCGCGUGUUCUUGGUUUUUGUUUUCUUUCCAUUAAGCCAUCACAAAUGCUUUGUCAUUCGCUCUCUUACUCACCAUUCGCCACGAAAAUCGCUUGUCAAUGUUGAGUUGAAUGAGAGGCCCAGAGAUGCGCAAGCUCUUGAAAUCCUUUAAGUGUCAAUUAUCAAACAUUUACAGCUGUUAGGAAACAACAACAACAACAACUAUUGCAACAAACAGUUUUGACGUGGAAAACAACUACAACAUUUGCACAGUUUUCAAAUAACGGUAUACGCGAACAUAUGCAAACGGCAGGAAUUAAGCUAACGAGAAACUAGCAAUCGUCCGACCGACCAACCGACCGACCGAGCAAUCGACAUUUCGUUUAAAAUUUCAAAGUCAAAAUUUGGGUGUCAAUUUUUGGAGACAAAUACCUUUGCAUUUCGGAAAACCAAAAUUCAAAAAGAAAGAAAAUUGAGAAUUGAGUUUUGAAAGAAAUUUGUCAAUUAUUGCUGAAAAGCCCAAAAUUCGGCGAGAAAAUAAGUGAUUCUUAUCGUGAAUUUGUCAAGGGAAUUUCUGUGAAAAAAAAUUAUAUUUUAUUUCCAUUCUCCAUCAUCUUCAAAAGGAAAGAGAAUAUCGCUGUGAAAAAGUAAUAAUCUUGAAAAAUAUUGAAGAUUUUUUCACGUAAAUUCAAGAGGAGGAAUCCAAUCGUUAAAUCAACCCAGCUAAGGCCAGAAUAAAACGCAACUCAACCACCUGAAUUUGGAUACUUUCUACGGCGCUUAGCACGACUCUACUAAACAAUGUUCGUUCAAAAACGGUUUCCUGAAUUAAAUAUAAAUACCUAAUUUAUUUAUAGUCAAACCAAAAAAGCAUAACAAAAAAGAAAAUACGAAACAAAUUUACUCAACAUGCAUAAAUAUAUCUUGCUAGCUAGCUAGUUAUAUGUGUAUUUGUAAUUAGAAUAGCUAAAUACAACAAUAACAACAACAAAAACUAUAUAUACAUAUCUUCAUACAUGUAUACUCGAUAUGCGCCUAUGAACUGCUAAAAAUAUUUCUAUGCUUCCUCAAUUUUUAUUCUACAAUAUGCCAACAAACAAACAAACAAAUAAACAAGCUAGUAAAUUAGCCAAAAAACAAAAACAAGAAAUAUAGCCACUGCACACAGCAAGACAAAUACAUACAUACAAAGACACAGUAUACUAAACACCUAGAAAUACACUUACGAAAAUAUUCACAUUAGAUACACUCGAACCAAAAACAGUAAAACUAUCCUUAUCCCGAACAUACAUACAGACAUACAUCCAUACGAAGUUAUUCUCCAUUGCCAUCGUAUCCAUUCACUCCCCUCCAAAUUAGUUUACCACCAAAUACUAAUAACACUUUUAUCCCCAAUUAGAAACCACAUAAGUCAGCCACACAAUGACAAACCAACUGCUGCCGAAGGCAAUGUGAAUUCUUCCUCCACCCCCAACAUCCAACAGAAUCAGAAACAACCAGAACAACAACAACAAUCCAAUCCAAUACCACCAGGGCAUAAAUAAAACAUAUCAGACAACUCAGCUAAUUAAAUGCCAAAUCAAUGUUAAUAAAUGUAUGUUGCCAAGUCAAUAUAAUCAACAAAAUAUCAAUAUACAUACCAACAUACAUAUAUACAUUUAUUUUUAUACUCUAAUAAACACGCACAUCCAUGCAUACAUACUUAUGUAUCCUAUGGAAUUCAUGCA